AGCUGUGCUCGAUUUGCACUAAGCGGCCAAUUUCAAAUCGAGGUCACCCACACUAAGCGGCCAUAGAUCGUUGCAAGUGCACUUGACGGUUAUUUCAUAUUUUCCGUAUUUUGCACCAAAUUGUUAGUCUUCCAUCAUGCAUUACUACCUAUUUGUCGCCUGUGUUGAGCAGUCAAUCCUCACAAGAAAAUACACUUGAAAGAGAGAGAAGCAGCCCAGGCGCCGCAGCAGAGUUCCUCAGAUGAAUCUUAGUCAUCAUCAUCAUUCCUCUUCGUCCCGUGUGGGAAUUAAGGCCACAGUCACUUCUUUCCAGCGUAGUGUCGUAGUCAAAGAUAUGCUGCAAAUCUUGCGACUCACAGAGCGUCAUCUAUUUGAUAUGAUGUUAACAAUGCCAUCAAAUGUAUGUCGGGGAAACGAGGCAGAAAUUAAAAGACAGAAUCAGACACCACCGCUGCCCUAUAAACAACAAAAACCUCUUCGUGCCUGUGGGACAACACAACACUCAGCUAAAGGCAUCACCGUCACCGUCUUAAAAGGAAACGACACUAGGCAAAGACAGAUCGUCGUACAGAAAUGUAUAAGAACACUAGACACCUUGAAUAAUGGACUC